rnacentral:lncRNA from 1 species
CAAAAAAAAAACUUCUUCUCACCACCAAAUUAAAACACACAAGCAAGACCUAACAAAGUCUGCUAGUGAAAUAUUGGUGGAAACCUAAAACGAGUGUAUGUUUGUGUUUGUGUUUGUGUUUGAGUAAAAGCAGUAUGAACUAAAAUAAAUAAUAUUUGUGUGACACCACCGCCCAAAACAUAAGCGGGGGUUUGUAAUGGAAUUUAUGCUUGUGUUUCCAAAAAAAAAAAAGAAAAUGUAUAUGUUUUUAUUUUAUUAUAUUUUUAUAUUUAUAGUAGAAAGGCGGUUUAUAUAUACGUGUCAUGUGUUAGAGUAUGUGACAGAGUGAGGUGGCGCGGAUUAUAAGGGAAUAUUGUCAGUGUCACAUACUCUAAUAGAGUUACAAGUGGGUAAUGCUGAAGGUUACUUCGUACUGAAGAAUAUUAUUAAAUCCUUGUAAGCUCAAAUUCACGUGAGACUUUUUACAUGUAAGUGACACAUUUAUAAUACCUUCCGUAUUAAUUUAUAUGAGUUAGUUUGAUUUGAUACGGAAUUAAGAAGAAAAAAUUAAAAAAAAAAUUGUGAUCUAAAAUAAAUCAUGAGUAUUUGUGUCAUUAAAAAUAAUUUUAUUAACAAUAAAAUAAAUAUUUUAAAUUUAAAUUAUUAUUAAAUAUAAAAAUAUAUUGUUUUUAAAAAAUAAACUUAAAAAGAAAAUAAGUUAUAUAAUUAUAAUAUAAAGUGAGACUGACAUUGAGGAGAUUGUCUGUUUGCCCAAUUGCCUGUUGGCAGGGGCGUAGGCACAUGCGGGUGUCCGAUUGGACAUCCUUCGUCGAAAAAAAAUAUCAUAUAUAUAAGUAAAUUGAUACACGAAGUGAUUAAAUAAUAGAUGUUGGACACUCUUGACACAAUAGGUUGUUGUACCUGUGGUUUUAGAUCUUUUUAAUGAAUUUCAAACACCUUGAAUGAGUUAGUAAUCACGUAUUCGAAUCUAAAAUUUCUGACUCCAUCACUGUCUGUUGGUACUCCGCUGAGCCAACUUGUCAACAUUAUAUACUGAUGAAGCGCCCACGCGUAUACGCCCUGCGACCGAGACUAUUUGGAGCGGGCAGUCCAUAGUAUAAUUUAUUGUCUAUGGAGAAAAUCAUUUAAGAGUCAUUUGGGGGUGGGAUUGAAAUACUCGGAGCAUGAUGCAGAAGCUAAUAAUUGUAAAUAAUAUUGAUGAAACAAUAGAUGGCAAAGAAAAUUAUACUCUCUUUGUUUUCGUUUAUGUUGCAUAGUUUAGAUUAUAAAAAGUUAAACAAUUUAAGUUUGAUCGUAAAUUUGGACAUGAAAUUUUAAUUUUUUUUGAAAUAAAAUGUAUAUAUUUAAAAACUAUGUAAAAAAAAGUAUGCUAUAUAUAAGUCACUAUAAUUAACAAUUGAAAAGUAUUUAAAAGAACUACAGUCAAAGAUAAACGUGUUUGAAACUCUAAAUCCGUAAGGUGCCUCAUAAAUUGGGAUGAAGGGAGUAUUAUUAGAUAUGUUGACCUAUAUAUGAAAAAUUAAUAUAAAAAUAAGAAAAAAAGGAAGAACCCUAACAAUGGUGGUGGAUGUUGUUGGAGAAAAUAAUAGUACUUGAUAGUGUUUUCAACUUAUGGGAACGUAUUGGACCAUGACACGUGAUAAAAUCAAGACCGAUAAAAUGCUUGAUACAACCCCGAAAAAUUGGAAGGGACCGUUUCCAGACAUGAGUUGCCUCAAUAUUUACUUGCCUCAAGCCUUGUGUGUCAAUCUGCUCCCAAUCAAUUCAAAAAUAAAGUGUCAAGAUGUAGACUCGUACUAUUAGAUAGUGUUUUCAGUGCUACACGUGUAAUCGUUUUGCAUUGAAGUGACGAUUGGACGUUUUUCACCUAUAAAAGAAACCUCUUAGAAAAAUAGAAGGAUAAAAAUAUCUCAAAAUAUCCACUUAAUUUCCUUAAUAAUCUCUAAAAGAUUGCCAACCUAUUUUUUAUUAUUUUUUUGUAAUUUUAUUCAUUUUUUUAUUUACGUGGCCUCCAAACAUUUUCCACACACCUCUACUAAGUGGAGUCACGUAAAUAAAAAAGUGUAUAAAAUUUUAAAAAAAUGAAUUCAGGAAUAAUAGAAUCUUAAUUUAAUUAAGAUGUAUUUUUAGAAUUUUAAUCAUAAUUAGGAGGUACUUGUACCUUAUCCCUGUGAAACUUAGUAUGUAAGAAAUACUUGAGAGAAGAGAUUCCUACGUACACUAUAACUUCAUGUAAUGACAACGCCAUCGACAUAUACAAUAAGGAGAACAUUCAAGUUGCAAAUUGCGUGUAAAAGAUUUGAAAUGAUCACAUUUGCUUUUUUCAAACUACCUUGCUAAUUUUUUUCAAACCAAGCUUGAGGAUAACGUUUCAAGUCAUACACAAACUUCUUUAAACUAUAGACUUUUCAAUACUUUUCUUGAGCAACAAAACUAGAUGAUUGCUCCAUAUAAAACUUUUCGUGGUAAAAAUACAAAAAUUUAUAAAAAAAAAAUACCUCCUUCAAAAUAUAUUCAAAAAUACGGUAAAAUACAUCCCGAAUCUAAAAAUGUUUUCGAUGUCAAAAAAUUCCUCCUUCCUCCGAAUACAAAAAUACGGAUAAAAUACAAAAAUAUAUCUCAAUUUGAAAAAGGUUUCCAACGCCUCACCAUUGACCGCUGUUAUCAGUGUUUUAAAAGGCAAGGCGUAAGACGGGGCGUUUUACUUAGCAUAGGGCGAGAAAUAAGCCUUACAGUCUUUAAAUUUUUAAUUUACAAUAUAGUACAAUAAUAUAAUAACACAAAAUUAUAAAAAUACAUCAUAGUUUGAAAUAAUUACAAACAUGAUUAAGGAAACUCGUAGAAAAUAAAACUUCUAACAUGAUUAGAUAAGUAUAAAUAAUUUAAUAUCUUAACUUUCUAAUAAUAAAAGAAUCAUUAUUUCUAAAAAUAUAUUUUUAUCAUACUAUACAAUUUACCCCCCUAAAAGAAAAUAAUCAAUAAAACUUACUAGUAUUAUAAUAAAAACAUCACUCCAUCAUGAAUAAGAAUAAAAUUAUUUUCAAAUAGGUAAAUAAAAUAGGCGAAAUGGUCUGAUAGAUCUUUAUACUUGUAUGAGUUUGUAUUCUGGACCCUUCUACUUAACAUUUUGUCAACUAAACUCUUAAACUCAACGAAACUCAACAUAUUAAACCAUUUUGACCAUUGACCAAGCUUAUGUGACAACUUAAUUGUUGUCUGGAAUAAUUAUGUGAUUUCACGCAAAAAGGGAGCGUGAAUAGAACAAUCCCCCGUCCAAUCCCCCAUUUCUCUCUCUUUCUCCCCUUUCCCAUCUUCAAUUUCUUCUUCUUCUUUUUAAAUAUUUUUAUCCCUCGAUUAAUUUUAAACAAGCUAGCAAAUUUUGAAGUGGACCGCAACAAAUCUGAAAAACAAGAUAGUAAAUCUCAAAUGAGAAAUAAAAAGCUAAGGAUGAAGAGUGGGGGAGUAAUCCUUACAGUGAUAAUUGAUAAAGCUCAAAUCCACCAUGAAUGCACAAAGAAGGAGAUGGAAAAGCUCAAAUUCCAAACUCUUUUUUUUCUACACCUCAAAUAUUUUUUUAUUUCUUUUUUGCUUUAGUUUCUAUUUUGGUGUCCUUUGUUUAGUUUUUUCCCCCCUCUGUUAUCUACGGAUUUGAACAUGUCCAUAUGUUUUGUGAACAUCCUUUUAACCAAGAGGAAUAUUACAUAGAGGGAUAUUGAUUUCUUCACUCCAUGCAUGAGAAUUGUGUUAAAGAAUAUCACCAUUGAUUUCUACAUAGAAGGCUUAGCAAGACAUUAAUUUUUAACUUGAAGGGAUAUUGAUUUCUUCACCCCUCUACCAUCUUUCUUCCCCCGCCCAAUCCCCCAUUUCUCUCUCUUUCUCCCCUUCCCACUCUCUCCAGUUUCUUUUUUUUUUUUUUCACUUUCUCUUCCUCCCCAUAUUAGAAACGAAAUGUGCUACAAUUUGUGAGGUAAUAAAUAUGAUAAUUUUGAUAGGUAAGAAAUAAUUAUUAAAUGUCCUUGUGAAAUCAAAUAGAAUGUGUUGUGUAAAAUUGUGUACAAAUAUUAAGAUAUAUUGAGGUAAUUUAAUGGUGGUUUAUUUAUAUUAAUGAUAAAAAAGAGGUUUAUGGUGUUUCAAGGGAUGGACAAAGUUAUAAAAAAGUAUGACUGAUGGUGAUUUUUAUGAUUUAGGAAAGUGGUGAUAAUGGUGAAGAUGGAAGUUGUGGUGAUGAGAUCUUUAAAAUGGAGAGAAAUGGUUAAGGAAGAAUGAGGGAAGAAUGAAGUGAAAAUAGAAAAAAAAUGAUUUUUUAAAAAAGUAAAUAAUUAAUGAUGUGUCAUUUAAAAUCUGACGUGGAUAACGACGUGUCAUUUUUUAUGAGCGUUUGAAGUUCACACAAUGCCAAGGGGGUUUUAAAUGGUGAGUUUCGUUGAGUUUAAGGGCUCCGUUGACAAAUAGUUAACUAAAAUGUUCCAUAAUACAAACUCAAACAAAUACAAGGGUCCACUAGACCAUUCCGCCAAAUAAAAUAUGAUAAUUUUGAGACAUGACAAAAACAUGAAAACCAAUGAUAAGUGAAAAAGUAAAUUUCGCUAUGUAUUUUUAAAAGAAAUGUUACGUAAUGUAUAAUCAUCCUCACAUUGUUACCAAAUAGUAAAUAUGUGAUACUACGACUUGUUAUUUGAGUUACUCUCAAUCUUCUUAUCUCUAUAGAUUAAAAAACUAUAUUAAGUAUCAUUCGUUUAUUCAAGAUUUAUGAGGGUCAACAAUGUUAACUAAAGAAUUUAACACAUAAUUUGUGUAAGAUCUGUUAGACGGACCACGAGUGUUGGACGUUGUGUCUGCUUAAGGAGUAUAGUUAGGCGCUUAAAGUGUAAGUCUUACAGAACUAAGUCCCUCACUUGAGUCUCGAGGCAUUCUGCUAGAGCCUCGUCCCAAAACGAGUCCCAACAGAAUCUUUUAAAACACUUGCCGCUAUAAUUUCACCUUUCGAUUUUUGGAGGAUCUAUAACUAAAAUCGAUCGUUGAGAAGUUCGACAAUGGAUCUAACCCCCUCAACGACAAUGAUACUCACCAAUAACACAUUGCAACAACAAAGCCACUAGGCAUAAUUAUUAUUUAUCGUCGUCAUAAACAUCAAAAAUAUUUAUAUUUUCUUAGUGAUCAUGUUCGACUCUUAAAAGAAAACAAUUUAGUAAAAGAAAAAAGGAAAAAGGUCGCAACGAAUAAACCUUAUAGAAAGGCCAAAAUAUUUAAAUAGUAAAAUAGUGGCUCCUCCAAAAAGUCAAAUGGUCAUCAUUUUUUAUCGCAUCAUAUUGGAGCACAUGAGACUCGUCAGGAAUAUACAUGUGUAACAUCGAAACAUGAAAAACUGGCUUAAUAAUUGAGAAUGUUGGAGGUAGAUCCAACUCAUAAGCAACCUCGCCAACUGUUCGCGCGGAGGACUAAGCCAAGAUGUACUUGAGAUAAAUGGUAAAGUUGCAUGGAGUACCUUUGUUCAUUAUUUUCGAUCGUGGUACCCAAUUUACUUCUCAGUUUUAGAAGUCAUUCCAAAAAGGUCUUCACACGAAAGUUAAGCUUAGCACGACCUUUCACUCCCAAACCACUGAUGGGCAAGCGGAGUGUACUAUCCAAACUUUGAAAGAUAUGUUAAGGGCUUGUGCGAUUGAUUUUAAGGGUAAUUGGGAUGACCAUUUGCCAUUGAUAGAGUUGCCUAUAAUAAUAGCUAUCACUCGAGUAUUGGUAUGGCUCAAUUUGAGGCUCUUUAUGGUAGGAGGUGUAGAUCGCCCAUAGGUUGGUUUGAGGUGGGUGAAGUUGCUUUGAUAGGUCUCGAGUUAGUUCAUGAGGCUAUUGAGAAGGUUCGACUUAUUAGAGAGAGGUUGAAAAACGUUCAAAGUCGACAAAAGUCAUAUGCCGAUGUUAGAAGAAGUGAUCUUCAAUUUGAGGUUCAUGAUUGGAUUUACUUGAAAAUUUCACCUAUGAAGGGUGUAAUGAGGUUUGGUAAGAAAGGGAAGAUAUGUAACUAGAUCGUCAAACUCUUUCCCGCUAUACCCAGCCGAUUCUCAAGGACAAAAGGUAUAUCAUUACAUUUAAAUAGACAGAGGAUCUUAACACCCAAUAUAUGGUCUCCUUUACCCAUAUCUUUCAUGUCAAAUGAUUUGAUAGUUUCACGAGUGUAUAUUUAAUAAAUAUUUCAAAAUUUUGUUAUUAAUGGUUUUUUAUACUACUUCCUCCAUUUCAUAUUAAUAGAAUAUUUGAGGUUUUUCACACCUUUUAAGAAAAGUAGAGUAAGACAUGAAUUGAAUAUAGUUUUCUAUUUUUACCCUUAUUAAUUACUUCCUCCGUCCCAUAUUAUAUGUCACCCCUUUCUAAAAAUAGCUGGACCACAAUAUAUGUCAUUUUAUAAAAUUUAUGCAUAAAUUACCAUUUUUUGCCCAUUAUACCCUUGAUAGAUUAAUUAAUUAAUCUUGAAAAUGUAUUUACUUUGACUAACCUAGGAAAUCUACAAGUAAUUAAUUUCAUUGGGAGAGUACUUCAUUCAUUAAUUAACUACUUUCUUUAUUCACUACUUAUUCUAUAAAAUCUGAUUUUGAAAAAAAAUAUCAACAAACAAAUUAAAAAUAAAAGAUGAAAAAAAAUUCAAAAAUAAUCUUGAAAGUUGAAGCUUCAACAAAUUUUAUCAAGGAAGAUGACAUUUCAAAAAGUUCAAAGGAAAAUUUAGAUCAAUUUGAAGUAAUGGAAUUUGAAUAUUUUGUGAUGUUGUCAUGUUUGCUUUAAGAAUUUAUAUAUAAAAAUAUAAAAAAACAUUUUACACAAAAUAUAUAGGAAAAUUGAGGUGGGAAAAACUUGAUUUUAAAAUUUUUUUGGAUUAAUUGGUGAAAAAAUUUGACUCCAAAAAUAAACUCUAAAAUUUAAAUAGUCAUCCAAAUGCAUUUAUAUUUUUGAAAUCUAACAUUUUAUCAUAUAUUACAAAGUUGUCAUAAACAAACAUUAAAUAAGGGCAUAAGGGUAAAAUUACUUUAUUUCUUAAUGCAAGUGCAAAUGGAAAAUGUGACAUAUAAUAUGGGACGGAGGGAGUAUUGUCAAAUUUAUUGAAGUAUUACAUUGAAAAUCCAAAUAAAGGGUAAAAUUGAAAGAAUACUCUAAAAAUAAUUUUAAAAAUUGAACAAUUAAGUUAAUUUGAAAAAUGAAAAUGCCUCAAAAAUUCAAUUUAAUAUGAAAUGGAUGGAGUAUAUAAUAAUAAGUUAAUUACAUGUAAAAAUUUCUUAAUGUAAUGCCUAUUGGCAUACUAUAUUACUAAUUCGAAUAAUUUCGAGCUGAAAAUUUAGGUAGCCAAUCAGAAAUUUCCAAACUUGUACUAUGUCUGCUUCACCCGAUUAGCGUAUAUCGAUGAUGGUCGAUGAGUGACUUACCAGAACAGUGGCAUUACUGCUGGAGUAUUUAACAGCUAGGGGAAAAAAUGCAGGCUCUUGUGUCCUCACCAAAUAGCUGUUACAUCAAUUACACAGGAAGACGAAGAUUUAUACACAAUUAUCAAUAUCACACCUCCAAGAAUUACCCCUUUUCUUCAUCUUCUUCUUCAUCACCCACUAGAUCACUUCAUUUCUCAAGCACCCAUUUUCCUUUUCAAUCACAAAAUCUUAUUCUGUAUCAAAAACCCAUUUCAUUAAUACCCAGAGGACAGCUUCUGUGUUCAAAUUCGUCAACUGCCAUUACUACUGAUGGUGAUGACAACAAGAAUAAAAGCUUUGGGGAUUGGAUCCAAAGCGUUGGGGAAACGAUUUCUGUUUUGUUUCCUUUGUGGGUAGCUUUGGGUUGCUUGAUUGGGCUGCUUAAACCUAGCUCAUACAAUUGGGUCAAACCUGAAUGGACUGUGAUGGGUAUUACACUAACGAUGCUUGGCAUGGGAAUGACUCUUACUUUUGAUGAUCUUCGUGGUGCUUUAGCGAUGCCUAAAGAGUUGUUCUGCGGUUUCGUCCUUCAGUACUCGGUAUCUUCUCUCAUUGUUCAAACAGUAAAUUUUUUGUCCUUAGCAUAGUGAUUUCUUAGGGCCAUUAAAUGUGAAUUGAGACGAUUCUCAAUGAGAAUCAAGAAGUGACAAUGGGUAAGGUAAGGAGGUAUAGAUACCACAUAAUCCCCACUGAAAGAUCUAAUUUUGCUAUGAAUACGGCUUAAAUUGAACAGUGGAUGAUUCAUUUCCAGUGUAUUGUUUUGAUGCAUUUCAUACUCUAUAACUUGUAAGGCAGUAUAUUACCAAAUACCAAAUGCAAAUCUGAUAUGAAUCAUUGCCACCAAGAGCAUUUCGUUAUGUGAAGACUUAUUUAGGUUGAGAUCAAGGGUGGAACUAGAAGCCUGGGUACGGGUUCGUCCGAGCCCAGGUACUUUUGAUCAAAUAGUGUAUUUGUAUUAGCAAGCUUAUUAAAUAUGUACAAAUAUUAAGUUUAGAACCCAAUUAUUAACACUUGAAAUCAUCGUUAUGGACUCACUUGAGAUGUAUGAUAGAGGCUCCGUAGAUACCACUCCUUUAGGAUGCAAAAUGAUACUGCCUUGAUUUUAUGUUACUAAAUCUGGGGACUAUUUUUCUUGUCUAGACUGCAUUUUCUUCCUCUUGAAUUUUAGCUCUUUGAUUGCAAUACAAAUAUGCGUACCAAGGUAAGGGCAAGGUCUGCAUACAUACUACCCUCCCCAUACCUCACUUGUGGGAUUACACUUGCUAUGUUGCUGUUGUUGUUGAUUGCAACACAAAUAUAUGCUCCCCUGGAUCUUGUUUUUUCUUGUUAAACUAAUUGUUUGUUCUAUUUGUUAUCUUCUUUUUUGUACUCAAUGAAUUAUGGACCUGCCCUUUUACUACUCUGUACUUAAAUACCAGACUUGGUUCCCCUAUAGUAUCCGUACCCUUGAUGCACGUCUACUCUAAUUUAGAAGUUCAUUGUUUAUUGAUCUUCUGACUAGAACUGAAGUUUGAUACCAUCCAACUCCUUCCUGCUUCAUGAGCAAGAUGAUGAAAUGAUAUGGAUGAAGUAUGCUGACAACUUGUAAGCCAGUACAUAACCAAAUACCAAAUGCAAAUCUGAUAUGAAUUAUAGCACUUCGCUGCCAAGAGCAUUUCAUUUUCUUCCUCUUGGAUUUUAGCUCUUUGAUUGCGACACAAAUAUAUGCUAUUGCACUUCUUGUGAUGUCUCUUAGAAAAUGUGUUCUUUAUCAAUUGGACUUGUCCAUAUUUCUGGUUACCUUGUCGUCAAUUAGUCAUUUCGUUGUCAAUUAUGAUUACCUGCAUUAGAUUUGAUGUUUAUCCCACAAACCUCUAAGAAGAUAUAUGCCCUGCUCAAAUUCAUUAGCAUAGAUAAGUUAACACACUGUUUUCUGGUGUAGGUGAUGCCUUUAUCAGGAUAUUUUGUUAGUAAGCUAUUAAAUUUGCCAUCCCAUUAUGCAGCAGGCUUGAUAUUGGUUGGCUGCUGUCCUGGCGGUAUGCUCAACUAAACUCCUUUCCAAGCCUUCUACUUAUAGGCAUUCACUAAGCGUUUCAUGCAUUACUCUGCAGGGACGGCAAGUAACAUUGUCACUUACAUUGCACGGUAGGUUGACAUGUUGAAGAUUCUGUUAUAUCAUCAUAUUUAUUAUUAUCCUGUUUUGCUGUUAUUUUCAUUAUUAGACCUACUAGGUGUUGAUACUUCAUUUUAUUGCAGUGGAAAUGUGGCGCUUUCAGUUUUGAUGACUGCUGCAAGUACCCUAUCUGCUGUGGUUGGUAGCUUUUAUUUCAUUAUUUGGUUGAUAAAUAUCUUAGCCAAUAUAAGACAUUUAUAUCCGUGCAUAGUGUGUUGUGUGUUCUAUGCAUCCCAAGAACAAUUGACCGAAAACAGUUUGUUCCUAAAAGAAACUUAGACGAAAUAGUUCUUAUUGAGAAAUGUGUAACCUUUUUACUCUUGAGAUGAAAGCUGCUGGACAACAAAGAAAUGCGUUGUUGACAGAAUAAUCGACAAGCAACUAAAAAAAACUUGGAGAGCUUCUUUUUCAAGUUACUUUGAGUUUGGGAAUUCUCUUGAUUCCAAAAGCAUGUAAGCAUUGGGAGGAGUUGGUCUAUUUUCUCCUAAGAGCAAUGCAAGCACAAUAAGAAUGUCAAAGCAGUCAAUUGUUGUCAUAGUCAAAGACAAAGCUUCAGCGCUAGUUACAAUCAUUUAAAAAAUUUAAUCAACCACUACCAUCAGAGUAGUUGUGCAAACAGGUCCAACUAACUUACCUCUAGACUGCAAUCAAGGUGCGGGGUUAGAAGGCAUAAAACUGAGUAUUGAAUGGUCGUACAAAUGUGUGUAGUCCAGAACAUGAAAGUUUUUCUCUAUACUCGAGAAUAAGAAGAUUUACGGUCUUCAAUUGUUUUCUUGUAAGUAGUUUUCUUAGAUAGUUGAUCCGUGUUGAACUAUAACAGCAAAAUUAUUGGUAGGAAAAUCCGUCUUUGGGACUCAUAAAAAAGACACAAAUGGCUAUCUUUAUAUCUAAAUGUAAUAAACAAAGUAUUAUAUAAUCUUGCCAAUUAAUAGGCCACCAGAGCACUGUUGUCUAAGACUGGCAGGCAGUUCUUUGUUAGUACACUCAUAUUCGUAAGCAAUGUGGAAAAAGUUCCCACACUUCCCUUAAUAUCAUUGCAGAUACUCUCAUCCUAUUUGAUGGUGUGAGAGCUCCCUUAAGUUAAUUGACCUUUCUGGUUACUCCCUUAAGUUGAUUGACCUUUCUGGUUACACAUGCAGGUGAUGACUCCUUUUCUAACAGAGAAACUUGCAGGGCAAUUUGUCGCAGUUGAUGCAGCUGGGCUUUUCAUGUCCACUUUACAGGUCCAUUCCUUCAUCUGGUUGUUGGCUUAUCAAUAUUGUAGUUUGUCAUAAUUAAUUAACUAUAAACCUCGUCAAAAUACAGGUGGUGCUUCUUCCUGUAUUAGCUGGUGCAUUUCUGAAUCAGUAUUUCAAAGGCCUUGUCAAAUUUGUGUCUCCAUUGAUGCCACCUAUUGCUGUAGCAACUGUUGCAGUUCUUUGUGGAAAUGCAAUUGCACAGAGUUCUUCCGCAAUCCUUAUGUCAGGUCAACAGGUUGUCAUAGCUACUGCUCUUCUUCAUGCGUCUGGCUUCUUCUUUGGCUAUGUACUUUCGAGGAUGCUUGGAGUUGAUGUAUCAUCCUCAAGGACAAUAUCUAUUGAAGUCGGCAUGCAGGUAAAUGUAUAUUUGUUCACUUCCGAUCCUCAUUAUAUAACUGAAGAAAAUAUUCAUAAAUGUAUUGCCAAAAUGGCACCUGAAAAACAAUUAGGGGAAAGAUGACACUUAAAUAGUUAGUUAAGCCCCUUGAUAUAUCAUGUCUUUUAGUAAGGCUCUGUGUUGUCAUUAAAUUGUACUUUGUUUGUUGCAGAACUCGGUUCUUGGAGUAGUUCUAGCCACUCAGCACUUUGGUAAUCCACUUACUGCAGUACCAUGUGCAGUUUCUAGUGUUUGCCACUCGAUAUUUGGCAGUGCCUUGGCUGGCAUAUGGAGGCGUUCUAUUCCAGAUAAAGUGCAGGACUAAGUCACUCUGUUGGCAAUCCUAUGAGGGUGUGAAUCUAAGAUUGUAGUUUUUCGCAGUGAUCAUCAAGCUUGGUAGUCACUAGUCAGUGAAUUCGGAGGUCCUUUUCUUUCUUUUUUUUGGAAGUUGAUAGUGAUGUCUGGCGAAUCAGGCAUUAACCUAUCUGUAGUAAAACCAAUUUUACUUUUCUGGUGGUGGCGGUAGUAAAACCUAUCGGGAGUCUACUAAACAUGUUGAUCAUUGGCAGGAAAUUUAUCUGCAUUUGAUCUCCAAUUCCUGUUCAGUAAUGAUCGUGUUGGAUGACUUGUGCUCUCGUAUGUUCGUGUCGAGUGAGCAAGAGUAGUCUUGUGUCACAGUAUUUAGUUAGCUUGCAACACCUUUAUUCUCUCACAUUACAAAUUGAAACAAACUGAGUUUUUACUUAGAAUAGUGAUGUUGAUCAUUUCAACUAGUUUAAAUUUUGAGAAACAAAAUUGUGUUUUUCAAUAGAAUCCAGGAAGUCAAUCCUAGUCAGGGGGGGAUAUAUUGGGUAAAUGAUGAUGUACGUGAACUCAUGGUCGCUCCACAAAACCAAGUAUUAUAUGUACACUAUUUUUUAGAAUUGACAUAAUAUUAUUCAGUGGUACCCACGUUUCAAAAAGGUUGAAUGGUUCAUCACUUGGUUAGAUGUUAAGUUAUUUACCUAGAGAAAUAAGGAUCAAUUCAAUAUCUCAAAUCAAUGCAGAUGUAUGCAUUUAUUUGAGCGGUAAACAAUAUAUUCAGUUGAAUUCACAGAACCUGUCGUAGAUGAGACUCUUGGACUUUCCUACAAAGCAUAUUCCAUAUAGAGCUGUAAAUAGAAGGGACCAUAUGCAAGUCAAUAAAUAUAGAAAUCUUGCUUUAGCAGGAAAGAAUCCCAGGGAACAGCAAAAGUUCAAGAAAGGGUACAAAUUCUGUUAAUAUAUGCCAGAAAUAAUGUUAGCCUCCGUCACGUCUGUUGACUACAAAUUUAACUAUUUUUACCGUCAUAAUUUAUGUGAAUGUAUUUAAUUGAUAGAAAAACAAACUUUUGAAAUUUAUGAUUUAUAACAAGAGUGUCACAAAAAUUGAGACGAGUGGACUACAUAUUUGACAAAACCAGGCCUAAGAGUAUCAUAUAAUUAUAGAAUGAACAAAGCUACUUCUGAAACAGAUGUGUGAUACAAAAUAACUUCAUGUGGUCCUCUGCUGAAUUUUAUCACACCCACACCCCACUGUACAUUUGCAUAUUGCACAUGUGUCAACCAAUCAUACAAUCUCUUGAAAUUUUAGUGGUGUUUCAUAUAUAUAUUUAUGUUUUAUGUCAAAAUAUUGGGUUCAGUUUCAGUGACAGAUCAAGAAUUUUCAUCUUUUGAGAUUUGAACUUGGAAUCUCAAGGUGGAUUUUGAACCCCCUAAAUCACCUAGUUCUAAUUUUGUGUUCAAGGGAUUCAAAAUCUUUAUAUAUAUAAUAUAAUUUUUUAUUAAGGGAGUUAGAUGAGCACUCUCACCCCUAGAUACGCCCAUAUUCAGUUUUUCUUUUUUGUUUUGGUUUCCCACCCGCUGUCUAGAACCCACAUUGGAGCUUUGACUAAAUUUGAAUCACACUCUGCAGGGCCCAUUCGGGGGUGACGCUCCCAACAGGAUUUUCUCCAUACCUAAGGCUCGAACCUGAAACCUCUAGCUAAGGAUGAAACACUCUCACACCAGUGCACCACAACCCAUGUUGGUCGCCCAUAUUCAGUUUUUCUUUUUGUUUUGGUUUCCCACCCGCUGUCUAGAACCCACAUUGGAGCUUUGACUAAAUUUGAAUCACACUCUGCUAGGGCCCAUUCGGGGGUGACGCUCCCAACAGGAUUUUCUCCAUACCUAAGGCUCGAACCUGAAACCUCUAGCUAAGGAUGAAACACUCUCACACCAGUGCACCACAACCCAUGUUGGUCGCCCAUAUUCAGUUAAAUACAUUGAAACAGGCUCCAUCUAUAUCUGCUUUGUUUAGUUAGACUGUGUUAAGUAGAAGAUACCUUGGAGAAAAAUACCAGGAUUGAAGUACCACUAUAUAUCAAUAAUAAGAGUCGCUUUUGUUAGAGGGUGUUCUAUCCCAGGUUUUAAUAUGAAAUUUUUUUAUGCGAAUCAAGAUUUAAUCGGAUUUCAAAACAAUUCGAACAUUUAAACAAAAAAAAAAAAAAAACUUGCAUGGUAUAUAUCUGUCUGUUAAGAUGGACCAGGAUCACAAUAGGACAUGUUUGGACCCGGGGGCAGAAUCAAGUUAAAAUAGGGUUCAAUUGAUUUCCUAGAAUAUGUACUGCCUUCCAAUGAGACUAUACAAAGCAACAAGAAGGUUGGAAUAUAGCAAAUCUGUCUUUAAAGUAUAGCUCCGCACCUUAUUCAUCGUGUAAUGACAGGGUUUCUAUCGAAAAAUUACAUUGUUUGAACAGGGUAAAAAUGAAUUUGUUUGUUUAUCUUGAACUUUUAAAUCCACACUCUACAUAGGUAACUUUGUUUUUUUAUGACAAGGGAAUUCCAUAGCUAUUAUUUUUUGGGUGCAAAAUAAAACCCCCACUCCUAUGCAAUAGCUCGCAAACCACAGAGGUAACCUGCACUGGGCGACGAGCUCGACCCAGAAGGAAAGCCUCUUCCUUUCGCUGGCAAGAAAUUUCAAACUUGAGACCUUCAACAUGAAAGUUUCAACCCAAACCACUGGAUCAUUCGGGUUAAAUGUCAAAACAAGUUCAAAAGUAGUGACAAGGAAAAGUUUCACGUAUGAUAAGCAUUUUUACUUUCAAUUAUAAGAUUAUGAGUUCAAAUCGCCAUGAAAACAAAAAGGACGAAAGCUUCCGAGAAAGAGGUAAAAAAAGUAAUUGCAUUAGACCAUAGGUAAAAGUCACAAAUAUGAUAUUCUAUGAGUUUUUCAAAAUCACGUGUAUAAUUUAUUUAUUUUCAGUUUCGUUAGGACCUACUGCAACUCAUCUCAAACUUUAUGUCACAUGAGAAUUCAUUUUUUGAGAAACAAAAGGAGCUUUUAAUUCUUGAUAUUUGUGAGGUGGAAUAAACAAAUGAAAGUAGACAAAUUAAAUAUAGUACAUUAAACUCGUGAUUAUUUGAUAUACUUUUCGUCCACUUUUACUUAUUCAUUUAUAUUAAAAUUCAAUAUUUAUUUUUAUUUAAUCAAUUAAAAAAUUAAAAUAGAUAAUAUUUUAUACAUUUCAUAUGUAUAAGAAUGAUAGAUAAGAAAUAUGAGAAUAUUGAGAUGAUGUGUUCAAGUUCAUGACGGCUCUGUACGUAAAAUGUGUUUCCUUAGUAAGUGAUUCAAUUCUUCUUUAUUUUUGGUUUAAGAAAGUGAUUCAAUUAUGAUAUAAAAUGUACUUUUUUGUUUUAAUUUAUUUUUCAAAUCAUAUUUUUAAAGUUUCCACAUCACAUAUUUAAAAGAGGAAAUUUCGCAAAUAGCCACUAAAAAUAACUUAAUUAGACUUCAUAGCUAUGGUUUGUUAAUUAUUAUCCGUAGCUACAUGUUAGAGGGAGGAGAGACGCGAGCGAAAUUAGGAGAGGGAGGAGAGAGGCAAGCAAGAGAGGGCAAAGAGUGGAGAGAGGUGAAUUAUAUUUGUAUAUCUGUCAGAUAAUUGUGUGUAUAUAUAUAUAUAACUGGUAUACAUAUGUAUUUGUAUGUCUGACAAGCGAAAUUGGGAGAUGGAGGAGAGAGGCGAGCGAGAGAGGGCAGAGAGAAGAGAGACGCACGUAAUUAUAGCUAAAAAGAGGCUGCAAGUGGUAAUUAAUUCAAACUAAGCUAUGUUAGCUAAUUAACUAGUAUAUGUUUGCUUAUCCGCGUAAUUUCUCCUAUUUAAAACCAUAUAAUUAAGAGACAUUUUAAUACAUUUGACAUAUCAAUCAUUUUAGACCAUUAGAUUUUAAAAAAUUAUUCACUUACUUAAAUUAGGUUGUAGACAUUGAAAUUUAUGAGACUUUACCCGACGUGUUCAAUUAUAAUUGGGAUUCUUGAAAACUAGUCUAUCAUAAACCCUAGUUCAUGUCUAUAUAAACAAUAUUAUAUUAUAUAUAUACCUAUAUAUGCCUAUAGGCUAUAUCUUAUAUAAAGGAUAUUAUAUAUCUUUAAAGAGUAUCUCGAAUAUCUCAUAAACUCUUGCGAUAUUGAUAAAGAGAUCAAGAUAUGUCAGACUCUUCUUGAUAAUCAAAUACUUCAAGAAGAUCCACAAAUCUUUUCAUAGAGAUCAAAUUCAAAUCAUUAUAGUUUGAGAGAUACGUCACUAACGGAAAAAUCUUAGUAAAGAAUCAAUGAAGGAAUAAAAUUGUACUCAUAUCGUUUUAUCAAUAAUAUUCUUAUUUCUUCAGAUUUUAUUCGUGGUUAACUUAUAUUUCAUAUAUAUAUAUAUAUAUAUUAGUUUUCUUUUGGUAUAAUAAUUGACUUAAGAAACAAACAAAAUGAGGGAAAGUGCGAAGAACCUGUGUUGUUCAAACUUAUUCGUGAAUAUGACCUUUGCCCCUUUGCCAACCUGCCCAACUCAACUUCUCUUUGUCUCUCCUUUCUCUCUUCACUUAUUCCUAAAUUACCCCCCAUUUCAACUUCUUCCUUUUUUUUGUUACUUUUUGAAUUUAAAUUAUAUAUAAUAACACUCUCAAUAUUUUUUAUAUUAUCCAUAUUGUUAACAUGAUAUAACAAAUGUUCCUUCCGUUUCAGUUUAUAUGAUGUAGUUUGAUUGAGUAAAGUUUAAUAUAUAAAAAAAGACUUAAAUUCUGGUUUAAAAUAAGUCAUAGAUUUGUGUGGAUAAAAUAUUUCAUUAAGGGUAAAAUGAACAUUUUAUAGUUAAACUGUUAUUGAAUAUAGAAAUGUGUUAUUCUUUUUUAGACUGAUCAAACGAAAAGUGUCAUAUGAUUUAUUGGAACAGGAAAAAAAAGUAAUUUUACCUUAUUUUUAUGAUACGUGUAGCGUUUUGACGAUAUAAAAAGUAUAAAACAUUACACUUGCGAUAAAACACAAAGUGUUACAUUAUCAUUUAUUAGGACUGAAAUAAUUAAUUAAGUGUCAUUAGAUGGAAAAAUUAAAGUUAUUGAAAGAUAUUUGGAGGAAAAAUGAAAGUUACAAAGGAUUUAAAUGACAAACAAAAGUUACUAAAGUAUGCCUUUCUCUAAAAAGUUAAAUAGCUCUUGCCUACGUACAUUACAUACAUUAGCUUACAAAAAAUAUUUAUUUGGUCCCAUGUUAAUGUCCCCAUCAAAUAGCCAUCAGUACUCUUAGAUGGUAAAUAUAAUAUUCCUUCUAGUUCGAUAUAAAUAAAUCAUUCAAAAUUUAAAAAUGUAUUAACUUAUUUUUCUAGAAUUAUUUUUUAUUUAAUAUGAUUUCAACUAUUUUUAAAUCUCAUUAAGAAGAAUUUGGAAAGACUUAAAAGAGUAAUAAAGACAAGUUGUCUUUUAAUUAUUGUCUUUAAAUAUGGAAUGUAUCAUAUCUUAAUAAUUCUUUUAUAUUGAUUAGAGGAAAAUAGUAUUUCCAACCAAGCACCGUUAGAAAGUACUUUUUCAUCUUUGGCAAAAAUAAAUAAAAUAAAACUACUUAAUUAUAAAACGUUAGUAGUAAUUUCAAAAAAUUCAAAAACAAAUUUCGUUGAUUACAUUUUUAAAACUAAUUUAUUGUUAUAUAUCCUUGUAAUUACAUAAGGGCAGUCAUGGAAGUUCCUAUCAUUUUUGUCAGGUUAUGCUCUUCCCAUAUCUACAAUAAUUUAUGUCCUCUUCUUGUUAUUAUUAAUUGUUUCAAAUUAUAUAUCCCCUCCUAACUCCAAAAAAUAUCAGUGCAUAUGUUCUCUUCAUUCUUUUUUAUCUCCAUAUCCUAAACCCAUAAAAGAAAAAAAAACUAGCACAAAAAAAACAAUUAAUGGCUAGUCAUCAUGAACUUGAACUAUCAAAUAAUUAUAGUGAUCCAAGUGAUGAUGAUAUGGACGAGGACGAGGACGAGGAAGAGCAAGAUAACAUAGAAGAUGAGGAACAAGAAGAUGAUAAUUCUAAUGACUACAACAUUUGUAGUGGUCGUAGUCGAAGAGGAGGACUAACAGACUUUUUCUCGUGGAAAGUCAUAGACCCUAGAGCGCCUUGGGUUCAAGAAUGGAAUAGAGUAUUUUUAUUAGUAUGCGCCACGGGGCUAUUUGUGGAUCCUCUCUUUUUCUACGCCCUUUCUAUAAGCGAGACUUGCAUGUGCCUUUUUAUCGACGGUUGGUUCGCGGUAACGGUCACGGUUCUUCGAUGCAUGACCGAUGCGAUGCAUUUAUGGAACAUGUGGAUACAAUUCAAGAUGCAUAAAUUACGUCCUUACGAUGGAAAAAUGGAUGAAAAUCUAAUUAGUAGUAGUAGUCGAGGUUCUCGACUACAUCAAGACCAAAGUUUUCGAUGUUUUGUGGCCUUACGAUACUUGAAAUCCAAGAAGGGUUUCUUUUUCGAUCUCUUUGUCAUCCUUCCUUUACCUCAGGUGCGUUUGUUGAAUAUAUUUUAUCUAAUAGGUUAAAUUUUUAGAUGUUGAUCGAUGAAGUAUAAGCUAAACACAAAGAAUCAAAGAAAAUAUAAACCUAGAUGCUUCUUUUGUGGUAUAUGUACAAUAUAUUGUGAUGAUAAAUGGUGAUGCAUGUUUUGUAUUUUAGUAUGAAAUAUUGUUAGUAAAAGAAGACAAAGGCAUGCAUGUCAUGGCCGUUGGUUCUUAUGCACGC